GCCAGGCAUCGUGAUGUGUGCCUGUACUCCCAGCUACUCGGGAGGCUGAGGCAGGAGGAUCGAUUGAGCUCAGGAGGUCAAGGCUGCAGUGAGCUAUGAUUGUGCCACUGCACUCCAGCCUGGGCAACAGAGCAAGACCCUGCCUCAA
rfam:Homo sapiens chromosome 11, GRCh38 reference primary assembly.